rnacentral:lncRNA from 13 species
UUUGAUAGUGUCUUGAUGCUGUAGUGUUUAGUGUCUUGAUGCUGUAGUGUUUGAUAGUGUCUUGAUGCUGUAGUGUUUAGUGUCUUGAUGCUGUAGUGUUUGAUAGUGUCUUGAUGCUGUAGUGUUUGUCCUUCAUGUUCUAAUACUUUAAUAUUACCCCUUCCUAGAGUUUUUUUUAUUAUUUUUAAAUAUUGGCACAAAACAGUUAAUAAUUUGACUAAAUAGAAAUUCUGAAAAUGUCCAACAUUUUGACAUCAAUCAGUUCUAUUUGGUUAUUUCAAUGCACUUGAGGCUCAUUUACAACAACAACAAAAACAACAACAAAUCUAUUGUUUCAAAAGUACAACAGCAAAGAUUUACAGUAGUAUCUGCAACACCUUUGCAGUCAAAGACGGACAGACACGGGAGCUAAAACCACAUUUGCAGCCUUGUCUAAUGCCACACAAUAUUUAACCUACUAUCCUACCGCAGAACAAAUUAUAUGAAUUCUUACUGAACGUAAUAUUACUACAGACCGUUUUAUUAACUAUAUCAGUGCUCACAUUGAUGCCAACAUUACAGAUCAGGAAACUUAUUCACCAAGUAUCUUACAGUAGGAAUGCUGAUCUUGGCACAGGAUGUCCCCCGACCAUAUAAAUCAUAUCCACUAUGAUCCAACAGGCAACACUGAUCCUAGAUCAGCACUCAAGACACUGUGAAUAAAGAACCAGAAACCGUCUAUGGGAAAGUUGUUAACAGAACUAAAGUCAUGCCAGUGUGUGUUAACUACAGUUGUUAACAGAACUAAAGUCAUGCCAGUGUGUGUUUUAACUACAGUUGUUAACAGAACUAAAGUCAUGCCAGUCUGUGUGUUAACUACGGUUGUGCCUAGAUUCACAUCAAAGAGGGUUGUGAGGAGUAGAAUUAGAGAACAAGGCUCCAAUAGCAGCGAAAGCAACAAUUACAGACCCACCUCAGACAGUCAGACAACAGUCUUCAUACAGGUUGUUGUAAUAUAUUAAUAUGAAGACAAAGUCACUUCCAAGGCAACAUUUCUCUGGAAUAAAAACUUUGAACACAACUAGCCUUAAGUGUGUGAUGAACACAGGAAACACAUCCAACCCAAAAGGUCGUGUACUGUCUGCUAAUCUAACGGAACAGACGACAGGAAGGUAAACAUUGAAAAACUAAAAGUGGUUUACACACAACUCAGUUAAAUGUGAUAUUCAAUGGAAUGGGAGGUUGGUCAGUCAAAUGUUAGGGACUUGAACCUCUGGAAAAAUCAUUAUUAAGGUUGAUGUCUAUUGUGCUGUCCCCAUCUGGAUGGGUAGUGGUUCUUAGAUGGAUCUUCAGAGGCUCUCCUCAAGUUCUACAGUGAUUGCCUCCCAAAUUGCACCCUAUUUCCCUUUAUAGUGCACCAGAGGCUGGUCAAAAGUAGUGCACUAUAAAGGGAAUAGGGGCCAUUUUGGAGGCAUACAGUAACUUCUCUCCCUGCUUUGGACACACAGAGGAAGACCUGCUUUCUCAUCUGCCAUAUUAAGACAAUAAAAUCAGUCACAACAGAAGUUUGGUAGCUUGUAAACUGGCCAGCAGAACUGUGUUGUUGACUCAAUAUCUAAGGGAAAGAACAGUUGUUGUCAGAGUGGGUUGCUUGGCUACAUUGGUUGCAUCACAAACGGUACCCUAUUCCCUAGUGGGCCCUGGUCAAAAGAAGUGCACUAUAUAGGGACUAGGGUGCCAUUUUGGACAAAUACAUCACACAGAGCUUAGUAACAGUUCAGAUAACCUUGGACCUUCACUCCAACCAGACCCUGCCCAUGUGGGACAGAUGAGUGUGCAUAGUCCUCUGGCAGGAACUCUACAUCCCCACCUCCUUUAUCCUCUUCCUGCUUGUCAAGACUCUCAGGGCAGAGAUCAGCUCAACCAAGAGAGUCUCUCUCAGUCACACACACACAACUCAGCUGCUUCAGAUAAACCACAGCCCACUAGGUGUUCAGACACACACACAUGCAUCUUCCCUGCCCGAAGAAGAGGCCACUCAUCUGGGUACAUGUGUGAAAGUAAUGGUUCACUUGUUUGGGCUCAGGGGGAGCAAGUGUGGAG